GGUCAAUGUAUGGUAAUUUUAAAGUCAUCUACUUCCUAUACAUGUGAUUGUUGGCCAGGGCAUUUAUGAUUUAUGUUAUAUUUUAUUUUCCUAUGGUCUUAAGUUGUUGGUUAUACUCUAGAACUUUGCAUACAUGCAGUUGUUGGCUGGGACAUUUAUGAUUUAUCUUGUAUUUUACAAUUGUCUUAAGUUGUUGGUUAUCCUCUAGAACUUCCUGUACAUGUAGGGUUGGCCGGGCCACUCAUGAUUUAUGUUGUAUUUUAUUUUGCUAUGAUCUUAAGUUGUUGGUUUUCCUCUAGAACUUCUUGUACAUGUAAUUGUUGGCCAGGGAAUUUAUGAUUUACAUUGUGUUUUAUUUUAUUAUGAUCAUAAGUUGUUGGUUUUCCUCUAGAACUUCCCAUACAUAAUUCUUGGCCAGGGCAUUUAUGACGUAUGUUGUGUUUUAUUUUGCAAUGGUCUUAAGUUGUUGUUGUUGUUGUUUUCUAGAACUUUAGUGCAUUUCACAGUAACAUAUUUUAGUGGAUGGUGAGGUAAGGGCCCAAACCCCCCAAAACAAAUUGUAAAUUCCAGUAAAAACUAUUACCCAGUAGUUGGCAUGGAAAAGUUUGGUGGCUCCUUACAAAGUUAAAUGUAGAACUACCGUAUCACACAGAAACUCCACUCCUAGGCAUAUAUGUCCGGAAGAAUUGUGGGCAGAGGCUGGAACAGAUAAUUGUACAGGAAAGUCAUAACAACAUCAUUCACCAUAACCAAAAAGCAGAAGCAACCAUGCCCAUGGAGAGGUGAAUGGGUAAGCCCAACGUGGUCUGUCCAUACAAGGGAAUGCUUUCAGCCUCAACAAGGGAUGGAGUUUUCAUACACGCUGCAACCAGGAUGGACCUGCAAAACACAUGAAGUGCAGUAAGCCAGACACAGAAGGACAGAUAUGACAUGUCUCCAUGGACACGGAAUACUUAGAACAGGCAAUUUCACAGACAGAAGAUCACAACGAUAAGUGUUUUGUGAAUGGUGGAGCCAGUGAUGCAGAGAGGACGGCCGACACUGCCCCCCAGGGGCUCUGAGCCCCUGUCUCCUCACCUGUGAAGCAGACGCAAGUUACUUGGAAGUAUUUUCAAGCACGA
rnacentral:lncRNA from 10 species